rnacentral:rRNA from 1 species
CCUACGGGCGGCUGCAGUGGGGAAUUUUGCACAAUGGGCGAAAGCCUGAUGCAGCAACGCCGCGUGUGUGAUGAAGGUCUUCGGAUCGUAAAGCACUUUCGACCGGGACGAACAACCUCUGGCUAACAGUCAGGGGCCUGACGGUACCGGGAGAAGAAGCACCGGCUAACUCUGUGCCAGCAGCCGCGGUAAUACAGAGGGUGCAAGAGUUGUUCGGAAUUAUUGGGAGGAGAGUGCGUAUAGCGGGCUUGAAAGCCCUCAGCUCAACUGAGGAAGGGCGCCCGAAACUGGCGAGCUUGAGUGUCGGAGAGGAUGGCGGAAUACCCCAAGUAGAGGUGAAAUUCGUAGAUAUGGGGUGGAACACCGGUGGCGAAGGCGGCCAUCUGGACGACAACUGACGCUGAGACGCGAAAGCGUGGGGAGCAAACAGGAUUAGAUACCCUGGAAGUC